GGUCAAGUAAUGAAGUGCACAUGGUGGAUGCCUUGGCAGUCAGAGGCGAUGAAAGACGUGAUAGCCUGCGAUAAGCGUCGGUGAGGUGGCAAUAUCCUGUGACCCGGCGAUUUCUGAAUGGGGAAACCCACCUAAGAUAACUUAGGUAUCAUAAUUUAUUUUAUGAGGCGAACCGGGAGAAGUGAAACAUCUCAGUACCCCGAGGAAAAGACAUCAAUUGAGAUUCCCCAAGUAGCGGCGAGCGAACGGGGAGUAGCCGAUUAGAUUUGUAGUAGCAAAAUGGCGUGGGAAAGCCAACCAUAGUAGGUGAUAGUCCUGUAUGCGAAACUGCAAUUUUAACAUAUUAAGUAGGGCGGAACACGAGAAAUUCUGUCUGAAGAUGGGGGGACCAUCCUCCAAGGCUAAAUACUCCUGACUGACCGAUAGUGAACCAGUACCGUGAGGGAAAGGCGAAAAGAACCCCUGUUAGGGGAGUGAAAUAGAACCUGAAACCGUGUGCAUACAAGCAGUCGGAGCGGACUUGUUCCGUGACGGCGUACCUUUUGUAUAAUGGGUCAGCGACUUAUAUUCUGUAGCAAGCUUAACCGUGUAGGGGAGGCGUAGGGAAACCGAGUCUUAAUAGGGCGUUUUAGUUGCAGGGUAUAGACCCGAAACCGAGUGAUCUAUCCAUGAGCAGGUUGAAAGUGCCGUAACAGGCACCGGAGGACCGAACCCACUCCCGUUGAAAAGGUAGGGGAUGACUUGUGGAUAGGGGUGAAAGGCUAAUCAAACUCGGUGAUAGCUGGUUCUCCCCGAAAGCUAUUUAGGUAGCGCCUCGGACGAAUACCUUGGGGGGUAGAGCACUGUUUCGGCUAGGGGGUCAUCCCGACUUACCAAACCGAUGCAAACUCCGAAUACCCAAGAGUACUAUCCGGGAGACAGACGGCGGGUGCUAACGUCCGUCGUCAAGAGGGAAACAACCCAGACCGCCAGCUAAGGCCCCAAAUUCCUAGUUAAGUGGGAAACGAUGUGGGAAGGCACAGACAGCUAGGAGGUUGGCUUAGAAGCAGCCACCCUUUAAAGAAAGCGUAAUAGCUCACUAGUCGAGUCGGCCUGCGCGGAAGAUGUAACGGGGCUCAAACUAGGAGCCGAAGCUGCGGAUUUAAUUGUUUCAAUUAAGUGGUAGGGGAGCGUUGUGUAAGCCUGUGAAGGUGUAUCGUAAGGUAUGCUGGAGGUAUCACAAGAGCGAAUGCUGACGUGAGUAACGACAAAACGGGUGAAAAGCCCGUUCGCCGGAAGACCAAGGGUUCCAGUCCAACGUUAAUCGGGGCUGGGUGAGUCGACCCCUAAGGCGAGGCCGAAAGGCGUAGUCGAUGGGAAAUCGGUUAAUAUUCCGAUACUUGUUUAUGAUGCGAUGGAGGGACGGAGAAGGUUAUGUCAGCCUGGCGUUGGUUGUCCAGGUGGAAGGAUGUAGGUAGGUUUAGUAGGCAAAUCCGCUAGACUAUUACUGAGAUCUGAUAGCAAGCCAGUUUACUGGCGAAGUGGCAAAUACCCUGCUUCCAGGAAAAGCUUCUAAGCGAUAGUCAUAAACAAAUCGUACCCGAAACCGACACAGGUGGUCAGGUAGAGAAUACCAAGGCGCUUGAGAGAACUCUGCUGAAGGAACUAGGCAAAAUGGUACCGUAACUUCGGGAGAAGGUACGCUGCUGAUGGUGAUAAGACUUGCUCUUUGAGCUGUUGGCAGUCGCAGAUACCAGGCUGCUGCAACUGUUUAUUAAAAACACAGCACUCUGCAAACACGAAAGUGGACGUAUAGGGUGUGAUGCCUGCCCGGUGCUGGAAGGUUAAUUGAUGGGGUUAGCGUAUGCGAAGCUCUUGAUCGAAGCCCCAGUAAACGGCGGCCGUAACUAUAACGGUCCUAAGGUAGCGAAAUUCCUUGUCGGGUAAGUUCCGACCUGCACGAAUGGCAUAAUGAUGGCAGCGCUGUCUCCAGCAGAGACUCAGUGAAAUCGAAAUCGCAGUGAAGAUGCUGUGUACCCGCGGCUAGACGGAAAGACCCCGUGAACCUUUACUACAGCUUUACAUUGAACUUUGACCUAACUUGUGUAGGAUAGGUGGGAGGCUUUGAAGUGGCGACGCCAGUUGCCAUGGAGCCAACCUUGAAAUACCACCCUGGUUAUGUUGGGGUUCUAACUUAGAUAUAACAGUAUCAAGGACAAUGUAUGGUGGGUAGUUUGACUGGGGCGGUCUCCUCCUAAAGAGUAACGGAGGAGUACGAAGGUGCGCUCAGAACGGUCGGAAAUCGUUCAAAGAGUAUAAAGGCAAAAGCGCGCUUAACUGCGAGACCCACAAGUCGAGCAGGUACGAAAGUAGGUCUUAGUGAUCCGGUGGUUCUGUAUGGAAGGGCCAUCGCUCAACGGAUAAAAGGUACUCUGGGGAUAACAGGCUGAUACCGCCCAAGAGUUCAUAUCGACGGCGGUGUUUGGCACCUCGAUGUCGGCUCAUCUCAUCCUGGGGCUGAAGCAGGUCCCAAGGGUAUGGCUGUUCGCCAUUUAAAGAGGUACGCGAGCUGGGUUUAGAACGUCGUGAGACAGUUCGGUCCCUAUCUACCGUGGGCGUUGGAAAUUUGAGAGGAUCUGCUCCUAGUACGAGAGGACCAGAGUGGACGAACCUCUGGUGUUCCGGUUGUUACGCCAGUAGCACUGCCGGGUAGCUAUGUUCGGAUGGGAUAACCGCUGAAAGCAUCUAAGCGGGAAGCCCACCUCAAGAUAAGAUUUCCCUAAAGAGCCGUUGUAGACUACGACGUUGAUAGGUUGGGUGUGGAAGUGUAGUGAUACAUGUAGCUAACCAAUACUAAUUGCUCGUUUGGCUUGACCAU
rfam:Moraxella cuniculi DSM 21768 genome assembly, contig: Ga0002152_134